rnacentral:rRNA from 1 species
AUUGAACGCUGGCGGCAGGCUUAACACAUGCAAGUCGAGCGAGCGGCGGACGGGUGAGUAAUGUCUGGGAAACUGCCUGAUGGAGGGGGAUAACUACUGGAAACGGUAGCUAAUACCGCAUACCAUCAGAUGUUCCCAGAUGGGAUUAGCUAGUAGGUCGGGUAAUGGCUCACCUAGGCGACGAUCCCUAGCUGGUCGGAGAGGAUUACAAGCCACACUGGAACUGAGACACGGUCCAGACUCCUACGGGAGGCAGCAUUGGGGAAUAUUGCACAAUGGGCGCAAGCCUGAUGCAGCCAUGCCGCGUGUGUGAAGAAGGCCUUCGGGUUGUAAAGCACUUUCGGCGAGGAGGCGUUACUCGCAGAAGAAGCACCGGCUAACUCCGUGCCAGCAGCCGCGGUAAUAC